rnacentral:rRNA from 1 species
UAGGUGGGCAGUUUGACUGGGGCGGUCGCCUCCUAAAAAGUAACGGAGGCGCCCAAAGGUUCCCUCAGAACGGUCGGAAAUCGUUCGAAGAGUGCAAAGGCAGAAGGGAGCCUGACUGCGACACCCACAAGUGGAGCAGGGACGAAAGUCGGGCUUAGUGAUCCGGUGGUACCUCGUGGGAGGGCCAUCGCUCAACGGAUAAAAGCUACCUCGGGGAUAACAGGCUGAUCUCCCCCAAGAGUCCACAUCGACGGGGAGGUUUGGCACCUCGAUGUCGGCUCGUCGCAUCCUGGGGC